UCAACCUCACUCUGCCUACCUCAUCACCCUGGGAGCUGCUUCCAUGCAUCACUGUUUUGGUGGAUGGCAGCAAUACACAAGGGCACCUCAUUGUUGGAAAGGAACUGCCUUCCGCCUGCCAAGGACAAAUGCAGACACACAAAGCAAUAUCAAGCAAGACUUCACAUCAAAGGGAACCCUGCCCGGGCUUGCCAAGAGCAGGCUGCCUCUGUGUCUUUCUCUUCAGCCUUAUGGAGAAAUCAAGGCGCAAAGAGGUUAAGAAGCUUGCCCAGGGUUUGCCGGGACAUAGAUGGGAGUACUAAUUCACAACUAGAUGGAGAACCUGAUACAAGCAAGCAGAACUCUGGAAGGCAACAUCUUGAGAGCCCUGAAGUGACAAUGGGAUUCUGGGAAAGUCAAUUCCUGGAGCCCAGUCUCUUUAUCUGCAAAAUGGAAAUAAUUAUUACAAUGGAGCCUCUCCUGCCUGCUGGGCGGCAUCACAGGAGACAGUGUUUUAGAAAGUCCUCUGUAUGUUUGAGGUAGCAUUAACACCACCUCCCCCUGCCCCCCGCCAAUAAGGGCCUACAAAAGAAACAGCCAGGGAAACUGAGUCAGUAAGCACUGGAUUUGGGAGUUUGAGUAUUUCCAAGCAGAAGUCAUGAGGUCAAACUUUGUAAUACUAAUAAAUAGGAAGAAGCACAGGAAUCCCAUUUCUUUGAUCAACUUAUUAAUUUUUUAGUAAAUUCUCUCUCAUCAAUUGUGCUAUAAUGUUUUUGCAUCCCAGAAAGUUUUAUACAAUAUCUUGUGUUUCAUGCUCCUUGUUCAUCAAUAUAAU
rnacentral:lncRNA from 1 species